rnacentral:rRNA from 1 species
UACGUAGGGUGCAAGCGGUUGUCCGGAAUUAUUGGGCGUAAAGAGCUCGUAGGCGGUUUGUCGCGUCUGCUGUGAAAACCCGAGGCUCAACCUCGGGCCUGCAGUGGGUACGGGCAGACUAGAGUGCGGUAGGGGAGAUUGGAAUUCCUGGUGUAGCGGUGGAAUGCGCAGAUAUCAGGAGGAACACCAAUGGCGAAGGCAGAUCUCUGGGCCGUAACUGACGCUGAGGAGCGAAAGCAUGGGGAGCGAACAGG